rnacentral:hammerhead_ribozyme from 1 species
AUCUAGCUGACGAGGACGAAACGCGCGUCCUGCAU